rnacentral:tRNA from 1 species
GUGCAGGUAGCACAACGGUAGUGUCGCCGACUCCAAAUCGGCUGGAUGGUGGUUCAAAUCCAUCCCUGCACGCCA